rnacentral:lncRNA from 1 species
GCGCAGGACCACCGCUCUUCCGGCCCGUGACGGAGACCGAGCGUGAGGCGCGCCGGGGCUCAGGGCAUCUGAGGGCCCUCUCCGGGCGUCGGGCUCAGGGCCGCCACCACCACCACUACUACCACCACCACCUCGGCUCCUGCCGGCGCCGUCGCCUCUCCCGCCCACCCCUCGCCAUGUCCGAGGAACUUUCGGCGGCCACGUCCUACACGGAAGAUGAUUUCUACUGCCCUGUCUGUCAGGAGGUGCUCAAGACGCCGGUGCGGACCGCGGCCUGUCAGCACGUUUUCUGUAGAAAAUGUUUCCUGACUGCAAUGAGAGAAAGUGGAAUACAUUGUCCCCUAUGUCGUGGAAGUGUGACUAGAAGAGAAAGAGCAUGUCCGGAACGGGCCUUAGAUCUUGAAAAUAUCAUGAGGAGGUUUUCUGGUAGCUGCAGAUGCUGUUCAAAAAAAGAUUAAAUUCUAUCGCAUGAGACAUCAUUACAAAUCUUGUAAGAAGUAUCAGGAUGAAUAUGGUGUUUCUUCUGUCAUUCCAAACUUUAAGAUUUCUCAAGAUUCAGUAAGGAGCAGUAAUAGGAGUGAAACAUCUGCAUCUGAUAACACAGAAACUUAUCAAGAGGAUACAAGUUCUUCUGGGCAUCCUACCUUUAAGUGUCCCUUAUGUCAAGAGUCAAAUUUCACCAGACAACGUUUAUUGGAUCACUGUAAUAGUAACCACCUAUUUCAGAUAGUUCCUGUGACAUGUCCUAUUUGUGUGUCUCUUCCUUGGGGAGAUCCUAGCCAGAUUACUAGAAAUUUCGUUAGUCAUCUAAAUCAAAGACAUCAGUUUGAUUAUGGAGAAUUUGUGAAUCUUCAGCUAGAUGAGGAAACCCAAUAUCAAACUGCUGUGGAAGAGUCUUUUCAAGUAAACAUGUGACAUGUAUAGACAUCUCUGCCUCCUUGCAACCUACAAGUGCCAUCUUUAAGGAGAAGACAUGAAGUCACCAUUUUCAGUAAUUUGCUGUGCAUAUUAAUAAAAAUAAUAAUUCAG